UUCUGUUAACCAAUUUAGAUGGGACAUGGUUUAGUGUGUUGCACACUGCAAUCAAUGCGUUACCUCAAAACAAUUUUGAGAAAUUUGCAUGGCUUGUUAUUAAUCGCAUUAUAUGUAAUAAUUAACGAUUCCUCCUUUUAGAUACACCAUCUUGCUGCAGUGUAUAUGAAGGAGUCCACUGCAAGAGAAUCUCAUUCUCUCUUAGAUAAUCUAAAUUUCAUCUUUAAGAUACUCUCACUUGAUCGAAUCUUAAUGUGUGAGUAUCUUUACCUNNN
rnacentral:lncRNA from 1 species